rnacentral:rRNA from 1 species
CCCUUAGAGUUUGAUCCUGGCUCAGGAUGAACGCUGGCGGCGUGCUUAACACAUGCAAGUCGAACGGGAAAUAUUUCAUUGAGACUUCGGUGGAUUUGAUCUAUUUCUAGUGGCGGACGGGUGAGUAACGCGUGGGUAACCUGCCUUAUACAGGGGGAUAACAGUCAGAAAUGGCUGCUAAUACCGCAUAAGCGCACAGAGCUGCAUGGCUCAGUGUGAAAAACUCCGGUGGUGUGAGAUGGACCCGCGUCUGAUUAGCUAGUUGGCAGGGUAACGGCCUACCAAGGCGACGAUCAGUAGCCGACCUGAGAGGGUGACCGGCCACAUUGGGACUGAGACACGGCCCAAACUCCUACGGGAGGCAGCAGUGGGGAAUAUUGCACAAUGGGGGAAACCCUGAUGCAGCUACGCCGCGUGAGCGAAGAAGUAUUUCGGUAUGUAAAGCUCUAUCAGCAGGGAAGAAGAAAAGACGGUACCUGACUAAGAAGCACCGGCUAAU